rnacentral:rRNA from 1 species
AUUGAACGCUGGCGGCAGGCCUAACACCUGCAAGUCGAGCGAGCGGCGGACGGGUGAGUAAUGUCUGGGAAACUGCCUGAUGGAGGGGGAUAACUACUGGAAACGGUAGCUAAUACCGCAUACCAUCAGAUGUGCCCAGAUGGGAUUAGCUAGUAGGUGGGGUAACGGCUCACCUAGGCGACGAUCCCUAGCUGGUCUGAGAGGAUGACCAGCCACACUGGAACUGAGACACGGCCCUUACCCCGACGGGAGGCAGCAGUGGGGAAUAUUGGACAAUGGGGGCAACCCUGACGCAGCCAUGCCGCGUGAAUGAAGAAGGCCUUCGGGUUGCAAAGUUCUUUCGGUAUUGAGGCGUUAAAUACAGAAGAAGCACCGGCUAACUCCGUGCCAGCAGCCGCGGUAAUUC